AAGGGCUUAGCUUCAUUAAAGUGGUUGAUUUGCAUUCAAUUGAUGCAGAAUAGAGUCUUGCAGUCCUCA
rfam:Papio anubis isolate 1X1155 chromosome X, whole genome shotgun sequence.